rnacentral:rRNA from 1 species
UCGAGCGGUAGAGAGAAGCUUGCUUCUCUUGAGAGCGGCGGACGGGUGAGUAAUGCCUAGGAAUCUGCCUAGUGGUGGGGGAUAACGUUCGGAAACGGACGCUAAUACCGCAUACGUCCUACGGGAGAAAGCGGGGGAUCUUCGGACCUCGCGCCAUUAGAUGAGCCUAGGUCGGAUUAGCUAGUUGGUGAGGUAAUGGCUCACCAAGGCGACGAUCCGUAACUGGUCUGAGAGGAUGAUCAGUCACACUGGAACUGAGACACGGUCCAGACUCCUACGGGAGGCAGCAGUGGGGAAUAUUGGACAAUGGGCGAAAGCCUGAUCCAGCCAUGCCGCGUGUGUGAAGAGGGUCUUCGGAUUGUAAAGCACUUUAAGUUGGGAGGAAGGGCAGUAACCUAAUACGUUAUUGUUUUGACGUUACCGACAGAAUAAGCACCGGCUAACUUCGUGCCAGCAGCCGCGGUAAUACGAAGGGUGCAAGCGUUAAUCGGAAUUACUGGGCGUAAAGCGCGCGUAGGUGGUUCAGUAAGUUGGAAGUGAAAUCCCCGGGCUCAACCUGGGAACUGCUUUCAAAACUGCUGAGCUAGAGUACGGUAGAGGGUGGUGGAAUUUCCUGUGUAGCGGUGAAAUGCGUAGAUAUAGGAAGGAACACCAGUGGCGAAGGCGACCACCUGGACUGAUACUGACACUGAGGUGCGAAAGCGUGGGGAGCAAACAGGAUUAGAUACCCUGGUAGUCCACGCCGUAAACGAUGUCAACUAGCCGUUGGGAGUCUUGAACUCUUAGUGGCGCAGCUAACGCAUUAAGU